rnacentral:lncRNA from 1 species
GAAGAAUGGAGAUGGGUAGCAAGAAAGAAACAUCUAGAAAAGAGGGAUUUUUCUGAAAAGCUUGAGAGAGAAGAAUGGUGAUCCAACUGGCAGCCAGAAACAUGGCACAAUGCAUAGAAGGAAAUUUAGAAGAUUACAUGGAUUGGGCACAUUAUGAAAUGAGGUCUAUAGGAGAAAUCGAUAUAGACACAACAAAGGACUGAGGUAGUGUGUGUGUGUGUGUGUGUGUGUGUGUGUGUGUGUGUGUGAAUAUAUGUAUACAUGUUUUCUAUAUAUAUUUUCAAGCAAUAAAUUCUGUGAUGAAAUGGAAAUUACUGAAUGCUCAGUUAACCCUCUGAAUUGCUUUUGAGACCAACAGUGAAAAUUUACCCAGUAGUACCUCAAUGGUAUAAAAUAAAUAAGUAAAUAAGUAGAGGAUAUGGGGAAAACAAACA